AAAACUAAAUCAUCUUUUUCCCCUUUUCUCCCCUGUCAACUCCUCACGUGUCACCCUCACUCUGUUCCCAAAAUCAAGGACAUUAUAGUAAAAUUUAUUACAUCAUAUCCUACACCCAAACAUUUCUCACCAUGUUUUUCACUUUCCAUUGGCUACACAAAAUUUAAAAUAUUUUCUUUCUUCCUUUCUUUCUCUUUCCAACAACACACUACAGCUAGAAGCAUCUCCACCACCCAAACCACAACAACAACAACAUUAACAACAAAUAAAAAGUGUUCUGUUUUUCAAACAGAGGUUGGUGUUCUUCUUCUUGUUCUCUUCAUUCAUUUUUCUUUUUCAAAUCAUUAA